UUACGGCCAUAUCCCGUUGCAGUACCUGUUCCCGUACGAUCACCGAAGUUAAGCAACGUCGAGCAUGGUCAGUGCUUAAAUGUGUGACCGCUUGGGAAUACAGGGUGCUGCG